ensembl:lncRNA
CAGAGGCGCCAGUGGGUGGAGUUGAACCCGAGGGAUCUGUCUUGGAGGCGAGAGUGCUAACCACUACACCACUGUACCGUGUCAACUGUUUUAAUUAGAAUGUCUUAUGACUCAAAUUUAGAAAAAAUUCAGAUUUUUUUCAAAAGUACGUUUUCUCACCGUCGUCCCCCUUCAUAUGACUAAAGAUAGAAUUUCAUGACUUUUUGCAAAAAAUGUUGGCAUUCUUUUCAGACUUGGAAGUUUAAAAAAAGUUUUUUCCAUUAGUUUUAAAAGUAUGGCAUGAACCCCAUGCAGACUUAGCCUACACCAAAGGCGCCACUGGGUGGAGUUGAACCCGAGGCAUCUGUCUGGGAGGCGAGAGUGCUAACCACUACACCACUGUACCGUGUCAACUGCUUUAAUUAGAAUGUCUUAUGACUCCAAUUUAGAAAAUAUCCGGAUUUUUAUUCAAAAGUACGUUUUCUCACCAUCUUCCCCCUUCAUAUGACUAAAGAUAGAAUUUCAUGACUUUUUGCUAAAUAUUUUGCCAUUCUUUUUAGACUCGGAAGUUUAAAAAAAAAAUCUUGCAUUACUUUUACAAGUAUGGAGUGAACCCCAUGCAGGCUUAGCCUACACCACCUAACACAUAGGCGCCAGUGGGUGGAGUUGAACUCGAGGGAUCUGUCUUGGAGGCGAGAGUGCUAACCACUACACCACUGUACCGUGUCAACCGCUUUAAUUAGAAUGUCUUAUGACUCCGAUUUAGAAAAAAUUCAGAUUUUUAUUCAAAAGUACGUUUUCUCACCAUCUUCCCCCUUCAUAUGACUAAAGAUAGAAUUUCAUGACUUUUUGCAAAAUAUUUUGGCAUUCUUUUCAGACUUGGAAUUUAAAAAAAAGUUCUUUCAUUACUUUUACAAGUAUGGAGUGAACCCCAUGCAGGCUUACCCUACACCACCUAACACAGUGGCGCCACUGGGCGGAGUUGAACCGAGGCAUCUGUCUGUGAGGCGAGGAGUGCUGACCACUACACCACUGUACCGUGUCAACUGCAGCUAUUAGAAUGUCUUAUGACUCCGAUUUAGAAAAAAUUCAGAUUCUUUUCUGGGUGGAGUUGAACCCGAGACAUCUUUCUGUGGAGGCGAGAGUGCUAACCACUACACCACUGUACCGUGUCAACUGCUUUAAUAAGAAUGUCUUAUGACUCCGAUUUAGAAAAAAAUUCAGAUUUUUAUUCAAAAGUACGUUUUCUCACCGUCGUCCCCCUUCAUAUGACUAAAGAUAGAAUUUCAUGACUUUUUGCAAAAAAAUUUGGCAUUCUUUUCAGACUUGGAAGUUUUAAAAAAGUUUUUUCCAUUACUUUUACAAGUAUGGAUGAACCCCAUGCAGGCUUAGCCUACACCACCUAACACAGAGACGCCAUGGGUGGAGUUGAACCGAGGCAUCUGUCUGGGAGGCGAGAGUGCUAACCACUACACCACUGCACCGUAUCAACUGCUUUAAUAAGAAUGUCUUAUGACUCCGAUUUAGAAAAAAAUCAGAUUUUUAUUCAAAAGUACGUUUUCUCUUUUGCAAAAAUAUUUUGGCAUUCUUUUCAGACUUGGAAGUUUAAAAAAAGUUUUUUCCAUUACUUUUACAAGCAUGGAGUGAACCCCAUGCAGGCUCAGCCUACACCACCUAACACAGAAGCGCCACUGGGUGGAGUUGAACCCGAGGCAUCUGUCUGGGAGGCGAGAGUGCUAACCACUACACCACUGUACCGUGUCAACUGCUGCCAUUAGAAGGUCUUAUGACUCCAAUUUAGAAAAAAUUCAGAUUUUUAUUCAAAAGUACGUUUUCUCAUCGUCGUCCCCCUUCAUAUGACUAAAGAUAGAAUUUCAUGACUUUUUGCAAAAUAUUUUGGCAUUCUUUUCAGACUCGGAAGUUUAAAAAAAGUGUUUUCCAUUACUUUUACAAAUAUGGAGUGAACCCCAUGCAGGCUUAGCCUAAACCACCUAACACAGAAGCGCCACUGGGCAGAGUUGAACCCGAGGCAUCUGUCUUGGAGGCGAGAGUGCUAACCACUACACCACUGUACAGUGUCAACUGCUGCCAUUAGAAUGUCUUAUGACUCCGAUUUAGAAAAAAUUCAGAUUUUUAUUCAAAAGUACGUUUUCUCACCGUCGUCCCCCUUCAUAUG